AGGGAUAUAUUCGGGGUCGAAUUAGCCAUGCUAGUCGCACGAGUUCAGACUCGUGGCAUAUAGCUCAGUAACACGUGGCCAAACUACCCUACAGACCGCGAUAACCUCGGGAAACUGAGGCCAAUAGCGGAUAUCACUCUCAGACUGGAGUGUCGAGAGUGAGAAACGUUCCGGCGCUGUAGGAUGUGGCUGCGGCCGAUUAGGUAGAUGGUGGGGUAACGGCCCACCAUGCCGAUAAUCGGUACGGGUUGUGAGAGCAAGAACCCGGAGACGGUAUCUGAGACAAGAUACCGGGCCCUACGGGGCGCAGCAGGCGCGAAACCUUUACACUGCACGACAGUGCGAUAGGGGGACUCCGAGUGCGAGGGCAUAUAGCCCUCGCUUUUCUGUACCGUAAGGUGGUACAGGAACAAGGACUGGGCAAGACCGGUGCCAGCCGCCGCGGUAAUACCGGCAGUCCAAGUGAUGGCCGAUAUUAUUGGGCCUAAAGCGUCCGUAGCCUGCCGGACAAGUCCGUUGGGAAAUCGACGCGCUCAAC
rnacentral:rRNA from 1 species